UGGGGAAUUUUGGACAAUGGGCGAAAGCCUGAUCCAGCAAUGCCGCGUGUGUGAAGAAGGCCUUAUGGUUGUAAAGCACUUUAAGCGAGGAGGAGGCUACUAGUAUUAAUACUACUGGAUAGUGGACGUUACUCGCAGAAUAAGCACCGGCUAACUCUGUGCCAGCAACCGCGGUAAUACAGAGGGUGCGAGCGUUAAUCGGAUUUACUGGGCGUAAAGCGUGCGUAGGCGGCCAUUUAAGUCAAUGUGAAUCCCGAGCUUAACUUGGGAAUUGCAUUCGAUACUGGAUGGCUAGAGUAUGGGAGAGGAUGGUAGAAUUCCAGGUGUAGCGGUGAAAUGCGUAGAGAUCUGGAGGAAUACCGAUGGCGAAGGCAGGCCAUCUGGCCUAAUACUGACGCUGAGGUACGAAAGCAUGGGGAGCAAACAGGAUUAGGAUACCCUGGUAGUCCAUGCCGUAAACGAUGUCUACUAGCCGUUGGGGCCUUUGAGGCUUUAGUGGCGCAGCUAACGCGAUAAGUAG
rnacentral:rRNA from 1 species